CAGAUGAACCCGGAGACAGCUGGAGGUCAGAAGAAAGAGUUAAAAUCUGAGACCUGGAGGUCAGAAGAAAGAGUUAAAAUCAGAGACCUGGAGGUCAGAAGAAAGAGUUAAAAUCAGAGAUCUGGAGGUCAGAAGAAAGAGUUAAAAUCAGAGACCUGGAGGUCAGAAGAAAGAGUUAAAAUCAGAGACCUGGAGGUCAGAAGAAAGAGUUAAAAUCUGAGACCUGGAGGUCAGAAGAAAGAGUUAAAAUCAGAUAUCUGGAGGUCAGAAGAAAGAGUUAAAAUCAGAGAUCUGGAGGUCAGAAGAAAGAGUUAAAAUCAGAGACCUGGAGGUCAGAAAAAAGAGUUAAAAUCUGAGACCUGGAGGUCAGAAGAAAGAGUUAAAAUCAGAGACCUGGAGGUCAGAAGAAAGAGUUAAAAUCAGAGACCUGGAGGUCAGAAGAAAGAGUUAAAAUCAGAGACCUGGAGGUCAGAGGAAAGAGUUAAAAUCAGAGACCUGGAGGUCAGAGGAAAGAGUUAAAAUCAGAGAUCUGGAGGUCAGAGGAAAGAGCCAGUGGAAACCUGAAGGAAGACUGUUGGACCCCAGAAGGACUGAUGUGGAGGAAAAUAAAGAGUCUGAUUAACUCCUUCAUGAACCUCUAACGUGAUGUUUUAC